GACAGAGGUGCCGAGCGUUAGGCGGAAUCACUGGGCUUAAAGCGUGUGUAGGCGGACUUCUAAGUACCUUGUGAAAUCCCACGGCUCAACCGUGGAACUGCUCGGUAUACUGGUCGUCUUGAGCCACUUAGGGGCAGUCGGAACAAAUGGUGGAGCGGUGAAAUGCGUAGAUAUCAUUUGGAACGCCAAUGGUGAAAACAGCUCGCUGGGGGUUUGCUGACGCUGAGACACGAAAGCCAGGGGAGCAAACGGG
rnacentral:rRNA from 1 species